rnacentral:rRNA from 1 species
AUUGAACGCUGGCGGAAUGCUUUACACAUGCAAGUCGAACGGCAGCACGGACUUCGGUCUGGUGGCGAGUGGCGAACGGGUGAGUAAUGUAUCGGAACGUGCCCAGUCGUGGGGGAUAACGUAGUGAAAAUUACGCUAAUACCGCAUACGAUCUAUGGAUGAAAGCGGGGGAUCGCAAGACCUCGCGCGAUUGGAGCGGCCGAUAUCAGGUUAGGUAGUUGGUGGGGUAAAAGCCCACCAAGGCAACGAUCCGUAGCAGGUUGAGAGGACGAACAGCCACCCUGGAACUGAGAACCCGGCCUGACUCCUACGGGAGGCAGCAGUGGGUAAUUUUGGACAAAGGGGGAAAGCCUGAACCAGGCAAUCCGCGUGGAGGAUGAAGGCCCUCGGGUUGUAAACUGCUUUUGUACAGAACGAAAAGGUUUCUACUAUACUAGGAGCUCAUGACGGUACUGUAAGAAUAAGCACCGGCUAACUACGUGCCAGCCGCCGCCGUAA